UGAACCAGCGGAGGGAUCAUU
rnacentral:rRNA from 1 species